rnacentral:rRNA from 1 species
GACGAACGCUGGCGGCGUGCUUAACACAUGCAAGUCGAACGGAAAGGCACUGCUUUUGUGGGGUGCUCGAGUGGCGAACGGGUGAGUAACACGUGAGUAACCUGCCCUUGACUUUGGGAUAACUUCAGGAAACUGGGGCUAAUACCGGAUAGGAGCUCCUGCUGCAUGGUGGGGGUUGGAAAGUUUCGGCGGUUGGGGAUGGACUCGCGGCUUAUCAGCUUGUUGGUGGGGUAGUGGCUUACCAAGGCUUUGACGGGUAGCCGGCCUGAGUGGGUGACCGGCCACAUUGGGACUGAGAUACGGCCCAGACUCCUACGGGGGGCAACAGGGGGGAAUAUUGCACAAUGGGCGGAAGUCGGAGGCAGCAACGCCGCGGGCGGGAUGACGGCCUUCGGGUUGUGAACCGCUUUCGCCUGUGACGAAGCUUGAGUGACGGUAAUGGGUAAAGAAGCACCGGCUAACUACGUG